UACGGGGGGGGGCAAGCGUUGUUCGGAAUUACUGGGCGUAAAGGGUUUGUAGGUGGCCCGCUAAGUCACACGUGAAAUCCCUCAGCUUAACUGGGGAACUGCGUCUGAUACUGGAUGGCUUGAGUUUGGGAGAGGGAUGCGGAAUUCCAGGUGUAGCGGUGAAAUGCGUAGAUAUCUGGAGGAACACCGGUGGCGAAGGCGGCAUCCUGGACCAACACUGACACUGAGGAGCGAAAGCCAGGGGAGCAAACGGG
rnacentral:rRNA from 1 species